UUACCUUUGCCAACACUCUGGCCUUUAUCCCUUUCCAUUCACGGAGAGCCAUCACCAGGAUAAUGUCUGCCUAUUUUGAUGCAAAGAAGAUCAAACCGACACCUUACUCACCACGGCAUCUACUCUUUAUUUUUUUCCUCCAUGGAUGCAGUGGUCCAUAUCCUUUUUGUGUCUACAA
rnacentral:snoRNA from 1 species